UUGGCGGUGACUGGCUCAUGCAUGAUC
rnacentral:sRNA from 1 species